AUCGCUUCUCGGUCCUUUUUGGUAAGGACUCAAGUUGUAGUAUCUGUUCUUAUCAGUUUUUAAUAUCUGAUACGUCCUCUAUUGAGACGAUAUAUUAAUUGAUUUUUGGGUGGGAGAUGGAAAUAGGAUGCUCCGUCCACCUCCAACGCAUCGACCUGGUAUUGCAGUUGCCUCCAGUGAACGGUGCACCUCCC